rnacentral:rRNA from 1 species
UACGUAGGUGGCGAGCGUUGUCCGGAUUUAUUGGGUUUAAAGGGUGCGUAGGCGGCCCUAUAAGUCAGUGGUGAAAUAUCGCAGCUUAACUGUGAGGGUGCCAUUGAUACUGUAGGGCUUGAGUGAAUUUGAGGUAGGCGGAAUUGACGGUGUAGCGGUGAAAUGCUUAGAUAUCUGGAAGAACACCAAAGGCGAAGGCAGUGUCCUGGGUGGUCGCUGACGCUGAGAGGCGAAAGCCAGGGGAGCGAACGGG